CUCGCUUCUCAGCCUUUUGGCUAAGAUCAAGUGUAGUAUCUGUUCUUAUCAGUUUAAUAGAACUUGAUGGGCAUAAAUAUAUUUUAUGAAUGACAAUUUAACUAAGGUUUUUAUCUGUGCGUAUGUCUA
ensembl:snRNA U2 U2 spliceosomal RNA